AUGAACGCUGGCGGCGUGCUUAACACAUGCAAGUCGAACGAAGCACUUUAUUUGAUUUCCUUCGGGACUGAUUAUUUUGUGACUGAGUGGCGGACGGGUGAGUAACGCGUGGGUAACCUGCCUUGUACAGGGGGAUAACAGUUGGAAACGGCUGCUAAUACCGCAUAAGCGCACGGCAUCGCAUGAUGCAGUGUGAAAAACUCCGGUGGUAUAAGAUGGACCCGCGUUGGAUUAGCUAGUUGGUGAGGUAACGGCCCACCAAGGCGACGAUCCAUAGCCGACCUGAGAGGGUGACCGGCCACAUUGGGACUGAGACACGGCCCAAACUCCUACGGGAGGCAGCAGUGGGGAAUAUUGCACAAUGGGCGAAAGCCUGAUGCAGCGACGCCGCGUGAGCGAAGAAGGAUUUAGGUAUGUAAAGCUCUAUCAGCAGGGAAGAUAAUGACGGUACCUGACUAAGAAGCACCGGCUAACUACGUG
rnacentral:rRNA from 1 species